GCUUGUCUCAAAGAUUAAGCCAUGCAUGUCUUAGUGUAAAUAACUCUUAUGAAACUGCGAAUGGCUCAUUAAAUCAGUUAUCGUUUAUUUGAUGGUCCCUUACUACAUGGAUAACCGUAGUAAUUCUAGAGCUAAUACAUGCACAAAGCGGCCUUCACGGGUCGUGUAUUUAUUAGAUACAAUCAGCCCCUCGGGUUUUGAUGAAUCAUAAUAACUGAACUAAGCGCAUGCUUUAUGCGGCGCUGUUUCAUUCAAGUUUCUGCCCUAUCAGCUUUCGAUGGUAGGGUAUUGGCCUA
rnacentral:rRNA from 1 species